AGCUCCAAUAGCGUAUAUUAAAGUUGUUGCGGUUAAAAAGCUCGUAGUUGGAUCUCGGCAGGCUGGGGGCGGUUCGCACUUUGUCGCUACUGCCCCAUUUGCCUGUGUGAUUGGCGGAGGUUUCGGGGUGCUCUUCGUUGAGUGACCCGGGGCGCCGUCAGGUUUACUUUGAAAAAAUUAGAGUGCUCAAAGCAGGCUUCUCACGCUUGAAUAUUCGUGCAUGGAAUAAUGGAAUAGGAACUCGUUUCUAUUUUGUUGGUUUUCGGAAAUCGAGUUAAUGAUUAAUAGGGACAAUUGGGGGCAUUAGUAUUCAGACGACAGAGGUGAAAUUCUUGGACCGUCUGAAGACUAACUACUGCGAAAGCAUUUGCCAAGAGUGUUUUCA
rnacentral:rRNA from 1 species